rnacentral:rRNA from 1 species
UACGGGGGGGGCAAGCGUUGUUCGGAAUUACUGGGCGUAAAGGGCUCGUAGGCGGCCAACUAAGUCAGACGUGAAAUCCCUCGGCUUAACCGGGGAACUGCGUCUGAUACUGGAUGGCUUGAAUCCGGGGAGAGGGAUGCGGAAUUCCAGGUGUAGCGGUGAAAUGCGUAGAUAUCUGGAGGAACACCGGUGGCGAAGGCGGCAUCCUGGACCGGCAUUGACGCUGAGGAGCGAAAGCCAGGGGAGCAA